GUGAGUGGUAGGGGAGCGUUCUGUAAGUCUGCGAAGGUGUGUCGAGAGGCAUGCUGGAGAUAUCAGAAGUGCGAAUGCUGACGUAAGUAACGAUAAAGGGGGUGAAAAGCCUCCUCGCCGGAAGACCAAGGGUUCCUGUCCAACGUUAAUCGGGGCAGGGUGAGUCGACCCCUAAGGUGAGGCCGAAAGGCGUAAUCGAUGGGAAGCAGGUUAAUAUUCCUGCACGACUUGUAAUUGCGAUGGGGGGACGGAGAAGGCUAGGUGGGCCAGGCGACGGUUGUCCUGGUGAAAGUGCGUAGGUGGUGUUUCUAGGCAAAUCCGGAGACACAACACUGAGACACGAGACGAACGCACCACGGUGCGGAAGCCAUUGAUGCCCUGCUUCCAGGAAAAGCCUCUAAGCUUCAGAUUACAAGUCAUCGUACCCCAAACCGACACAGGUGGUCGGGUAGAGAAUACCAAGGCGCUUGAGAGAACUCGGGUGAAGGAACUAGGCAAAAUAGAACCGUAACUUCGGGAGAAGGUUCGCUCUUGAUGGUGAAGUCCCUUGCGGAUGGAGCUGUCGGGAGUCGCAGUGACCAGAUGGCUGGGACUGUUUAUCAAAAACACAGCACUCUGCAAACACGAAAGUGGACGUAUAGGGUGUGACACCUGCCCGGUGCCGGAAGGUUAAUUGAUGGGGUUAGCGCAAGCGAAGCUCUUGAUCGAAGCCCCGGUAAACGGCGGCCGUAACUAUAACGGUCCUAAGGUAGCGAAAUUCCUUGUCGGGUAAGUUCCGACCUGCACGAAUGGUGUAACCAUGGCCAUGCUGUCUCCACCCGAGACUCAGUGAAAUCGAAUUCGCCGUGAAGAUGCGGUGUACCCGCGGCUAGACGGAAAGACCCCGUGAACCUUUACUACAGCUUGGCACUGAACAUUGAACCUACAUGUGUAGGAUAGGUGGGAGGCUUUGAAGGCGUGACGCCAGUUGCGCUGGAGCCGUCCUUGAAAUACCACCCUUGUAUGUUUGAUGUUCUAACGCAGGGCCCUGAAUCGGGCUCGCGGACAGUGCCUGGUGGGUAGUUUGACUGGGGCGGUCUCCUCCCAAAGAGUAACGGAGGAGCACGAAGGUUGGCUAAUCCUGGUCGGACAUCAGGAGGUUAGUGCAAUGGCAUAAGCCAGCUUAACUGCGAGACGGACAGGUCGAGCAGGUACGAAAGUAGGUCAUAGUGAUCCGGUGGUUCUGAAUGGAAGGGCCAUCGCUCAACGGAUAAAAGGUACUCCGGGGAUAACAGGCUGAUACCGCCCAAGAGUUCAUAUCGACGGCGGUGUUUGGCACCUCGAUGUCGGCUCAUCACAUCCUGGGGCUGAAGUCGGUCCCAAGGGUAUGGCUGUUCGCCAUUUAAAGUGGUACGCGAGCUGGGUUCAGAACGUCGUGAGACAGUUCGGUCCCUAUCUGCCGUGGGCGUUGGAUGAUUGAAGGGAGUUGCUCCUAGUACGAGAGGACCGGAGUGAACGAACCUCUGGUGUUCGGGUUGUCACGCCAGUGGCACUGCCCGGUAGCUAAGUUCGGAAUCGAUAACCGCUGAAAGCAUCUAAGCGGGAAGCGAGCCCUGAGAUGAGUCAUCCCUGACCCCUUGAGGGUCCUAAAGGGCCGUUGGAGACCACAACGUUGAUAGGUGGGGUGUGUAAGCGUAGCGAUACGUUGAGCUAACCCAUACUAAUUACCCGUGAGGCUUAACCAU
rnacentral:rRNA from 1 species